rnacentral:rRNA from 1 species
UACGGGGGGGGCAAGCGUUGUUCGGAAUUACUGGGCGUAAAGGGCUCGUAGGCGGCCAACUAAGUCAGACGUGAAAUCCCUCGGCUUAACCGGGGAACUGCAUCUGAUACUGGAUGGCUUGAGUUCGGGAGAGGGAUGCGGAAUUCCAGGUGUAGCGGUGAAAUGCGUAGAUAUCUGGAGGAACACCGGUGGCGAAGGCGGCAUCCUGGACCGACACUGACGCUGAGGAGCGAAAGCGUGGGGAGCGAACCGG